rnacentral:rRNA from 1 species
CUCCGGUGGAUCUGGCGGGACCUGACUGCUAUCGGAUUGGUACUAGAGCCAUGCGAGUCAUUGUAGCAAUACAAGGCAUACGGCUCAGUAACACGUAGUCAACCUAACUCGCGGACGUGGAUAACCUCGGGAAACUGAGAAUAAACCACGAUAGAUCAUUCUGCCUGGAAUGGCUUAUGGUCGAAAUAGUUUACUGCCACGGGAUGGGACUGCGGCCUAUCAGCUUGUUGGCGGGGUAAUGGCCCACCAAGGCUAUAACAGGUACGGGCUCUGAGAGGAGAAGCCCGGAGAUGGGUACUGAGACACGGACCCAGGCCCUAUGGGGCGCAGCAGGCGAGAAACCUUAGCAAUGUGCGAAAGCACGACUGGGUCAGUCCGAGUGAUUCCUGCUAAAGGAAUCUUUUGCUUGUCCUAAAAGCACAGGUGAAUAAGGGGUGGGCAAGUCUGGUGUCAGCCGCCGCGGUAAUACCAGCACCUCGAGUGGUCAGGACGUUUAUUGGGCCUAAAGCAUCCGUAGCCGGCUUUGCAAGUCUCCGGUUAAAUCCACCUGCUCAACAGAUGGGCUGCUGGAGAUACUACAAAGCUAGGGAGUGGGAGAGGCGGACGGUAUUCAGUGGGUAGGGGUAAAAUCCUCUGAUCCAUCGAGGACCACCAGUGGCGAAGGCGGUCCGCCAGAACACGUUCGACGGUGAGGGAUGAAAGCUGGGGGAGCAAACCGGAUUAGAUACCCGGGUAGUCCCAGCUGUAAACGAUGCAAACUCGGUGAUGCGUUGGUUUAUGGCCAAUGCAGUGCCGCAGGGAAGCCCGUUAAGUUGCCGCCUGGGAAGUACGGACGCCAGUCUGAAACUUAAGGAAUUUGCCGGGGGACCCCAA